rnacentral:rRNA from 1 species
CCUACGGGUGGCUGCAGUCGAGAAUCAUUCACAAUGGGGGAAACCCUGAUGCAGCGACGCCGCGUGAGUGAAGAAGUAUUUCGGUAUGUAAAGCUCUAUCAGCAGGGAAGAGAAUGACGGUACCUGAGUAAGAAGCCCCGGCUAACUACGUGCCAGCAGCCGCGGUAAUACGUAGGGGGCAAGCGUUAUCCGGAUUUAUUGGGUUUAAAGGGUGCGUAGGCUGUGAGGUAAGUCAGCGGUGAAAUGCCCCCGCUCAACGGGGUGAAGUGCCAUUGAUACUGCCUUGCUGGAAUGCGGAUGCCGUGGGAGGAAUGUGUGGUGUAGCGGUGAAAUGCAUAGAUAUCACACAGAACACCGAUUGCGAAGGCAUCUCACGAAUCCGCGAUUGACGCUGAUGCACGAAAGCGUGGGUAUCAACAGGAUUAGAUACCCGGGUAGUC